GAUGAACGCUGGCGGCGUGCCUAACACAUGCAAGUCGAACGAUUAAACCACCUCCGGGUGGAUAUAGAGUGGCGAACGGGUGAGUAACACGUGACCAACCUGCCUUCCGCAUCGGGAUAACCCGGGGAAACCCGUGCUAAUACCGAAUGACCCGGGCCCCCCGCAUGGGGGGGCCGGCAAAGCCUUCGCGGCGGAAGAUGGGGUCGCGGCCCAUUAGGUAGUUGGCGGGGUAACGGCCCACCAAGCCUUCGAUGGGUAGCCGGGUUGAGAGACCGAACGGCCACAUUGGGACUGAGAUACGGCCCAGACUCCUACGGGAGGCAGCAGUGGGGAAUUUUGCGCAAUGGGGGAAACCCUGACGCAGCAACGCCGCGUGCGGGAUGAAGGCCUUCGGGUUGUAAACCGCUUUCAGCAGGGAAGAAGUUGACUGUACCUGCAGAAGAAGCUCCGGCUAACUACGUGCCAGCAGCCGCGGUAA
rnacentral:rRNA from 1 species